CCUACGGGCUGCACCAGUAGGGAAUCUUCGGCAAUGGACGAAAGUCUGACCGAGCAACGCCGCGUGAGUGAAGAAGGUUUUCGGAUCGUAAAACUCUGUUGGUAGAGAAGAACGUUGGUGAGAGUGGAAAGCUCAUCAAGUGACGGUAACUACCCAGAAAGGGACGGCUAACUACGUGCCAGCAGCCGCGGUAAUACGUAGGUCCCGAGCGUUGUCCGGAUUUAUUGGGCGUAAAGCGAGCGCAGGUGGUUUAUUAAGUCUGGUGUAAAAGGCAGUGGCUCAACCAUUGUAUGCAUUGGAAACUGGUAGACUUGAGUGCAGGAGAGGAGAGUGGAAUUCCAUGUGUAGCGGUGAAAUGCGUAGAUAUUGGGAAGAACACCGGUGGCGAAGGCGGCAACCUGGCUCGAUACUGACGCUGAGGCGCGAAAGCAUGGGGAGCAAACAGGAUUAGAUACCCCUGUAGUC
rnacentral:rRNA from 1 species